ensembl:lncRNA
GUGAGUGGCAGCAGCACGCCAGUGAGGAACUUGUGGCAGCUACACAAUCGGGUGUAGUAAUUUAUAGUUUUAAAUGAAGGGUUUAUUUCAGGAACUCAGAGUUUUAUUCCCUGUCCUUUAUGACUCAUUAAGUCAGCAGCACUGCUGAUUUGUGCCCAAAGAUAUGCUCUUGGAAGGAAGACCGGUGAGAACCAGAGAUGUUACGCACUGAGAAGGAGUCACUGCAGGCCAGAUCCGCUUUGCUGCAGUAAAUUCUCAGCGCUGGUGCAGAUGAGCAGCCAUUCACUCAACACAGUGUCUGGGCUUGUGAGAAAAGUAGUGACUCAUGGCCAAGGUCAUGCUGUAGUCUGGGAGGACUGCCAGGGAAGGGAGAAAGCUGCACUUGGCCUGGCCUGUGGUGAGUUCACUCCUUGCGUGGGGCGGAAGACACAACCCACCUCAAGAGGAUCGGAGAGCCCUGCGUGGGCUGAAUUGGUUAUCUGGGAGCUGGCAGCCAUGCGCUCCCACUCCUGAGCUGCAAAUAAUGAGUCUGGGAGUAGGAAGUCAGCCUCACAUGGGAUGGCUCCAGAGGUUUUUAGCGCAUGUGGUCCCUCCCCAGUGGGAUGUAGGAGGUCAGAGUAGGCUUUGUUUCCAUGGGGUUCCCCUGGUGCGUCACCACAAUGGACAGAAAACAUUUCCCCACCUUCUCCUCCCACAGUGAGGAGUGGUGAUUAGCCAGAGGAAGCCUUGUUUCUCCAGGGCCUUUAAGAUGACAACCACAGCCACGAGAGCCGGCACAGCGUGGGACAUUAAGGCCUGAGAGAUGUUGCCUGGGUGGGCUGGGAUCCUCUGGGGCUGGCCCCAGUCUAGCUAGAAGAAUAAUCUCACCUCUGCUGUUAUUCAAUGAGCAGCAUAUGCCAAUGCUGUCUCCCAAAGACAUUCACCACCAACGCCAGCCAUCUGCUUUGCUCACUGCCUGAGCAGCUGCUGUCUUGUCUACCUGCGCAGUGGCAACCGGGCCUUACCCACAGGUAGACACCCAGCCUCUCUCCAUGGCAAAGGCGUGGCUGGCCUGGCUGUGCUCUGAGUGCUCUUUGGAAGACCAGGGGAAGCAGAUGGUAUGGGGCUGGGGCUGGGGCCCAGGUGGAAUGACAGCAGUCGCUUGUGGCAGCUUCUGUUUAUUCAUUUGCCCGUGAGGAC